rnacentral:rRNA from 1 species
GUCGAGAAUCUUCUGCAAUGGGCGCAAGCCUGACAGAGCGACGCCGCGUGGAGGACGAAGGCCCUCGGGUUGUAAACUCCUGUCACAUGUUAUGAACCGCACGGGUCCACCCGUGUCUGACAAAAGCAUGAGAGGAAGUCACGGCUAACUUCGUGCCAGCAGCCGCGGUAAGACGAAGGUGGCAAGCGUUAUUCGGAUUUACUGGGCAUAAAGCGCGCGUAGGCGGCUCGACAAGUCGGGGGUGAAAGCCUGCAGCUCAACUGCGGUGUGCCUUCGAAACUGUCGAGCUUGAGUGCAGGAGGGGUGAUUGGAACUCCAGGUGUAGCGGUGAAAUGCGUAGAUAUCUGGAGGAACACCAGAGGCGAAGGCGAAUCACUGGACUGCAACUGACGCUGAGGCGCGAAAGCUAGGGGAGCAAACAGGAUUAGAAACCCUGGUAGUCC